rnacentral:rRNA from 1 species
GAUGAACGCUGGCGGCGUGCCUAAUACAUGCAAGUCGAGCGAACAGACGAGGAGCUUGCUCCUCUGACGUUAGCGGCGGACGGGUGAGUAACACGUGGAUAACCUACCUAUAAGACUGGGAUAAUUUCGGGAAACCGGAGCUAAUACCGGAUAAUAUAUUGAACCGCAUGGUUCAAUAGUGAAAGACGGCUUUGCUGUCACUUAUAGAUGGAUCCGCGCCGCAUUAGCUAGUUGGUAAGGUAACGGCUUACCAAGGCAACGAUGCGUAGCCGACCUGAGAGGGUGGUCGGCCACACUGGAACUGGGACACGGUCCAGGGUCCUACGGGAGGCAGCAGUAGGGAAUCGUCCGCAGUGGGCGAGAGCCUGGCGGAGCAACGCCACGUGAGUGAUGAAGGUCUUCGGAUCGUAAAACUCUGUUAUUAGGGGAAAACAAAUGUGUAAGUAGCUAUGCACGUCUUGACGGUACCUAAUCAGAAAGCAACGGCUAACUACGUG